GGGAGGGAAACCGCGGGCUGCUUCGCCGGCCGCCGCCGCCGCGUGAAAGGGCACCGACCGCCGCGCGGCGGCCUCCCUCCGCUCCCCCUGCGACCACCAGCGCCGCCGCCUCCUUCCACUCCCCUGCGACCACCCCGGGCCGCCGCCUCGACGCCCAGCGCCGCCGGCUUCCUUCUCUCCCCCAGCGACAACCCUCGGCUGCCCCCAAAGCUACUGUGUUGGCAAUGUCUAGUUCACCCCUGAUAAUGCAAUGCAGUGAUGUGUGUGCUGUGCGCAGGAGCAAACUUCAUAAGGAAACGCUAUAGGCUUGAAGAAACUACAAGGUUGAAAGCACAACCACCGUGCACAGGAGCAAACUUCAGAUAAUCCACUUUGAUAAGAAAUACAAGGUGUCAAACUUAUGCUUCGAUCAUUAUUGGGCUAAAAGCAACCCAAACUUUGCUUGAUUCUUCAUAACAAGCUUCAUAUGUCCUAAUCUGCCUUUCCAAUACGUAGGCCUUUUAAUUUUUGACCAAGAUUACAGAAAAAAAAUGUAUUGAUAUAUAUCAUGACACGUCCUCUUUAAUAAAACCUGAGAGCUGUAGAUGUUGGUAGAUUGUUGUAUAAAUUCGGUCAAACUUUAAGAAAUUUGGCUUAGGACAAAUCUAGAACAUCUCAUUUGUAUAAAUUUUGAAGUUUGACUUACAACAAAUGUAUAACAUCCUAUAUUUCGAAACAGAGGAAAUACAUGCAAUUCGAUUGAAGAAUUAUCCAGUUGACAUAAAUCACGCUUUUUCUUAUUGCAAGGUCCACUGGUGCUACUUUCUACAGUACAACAGUGUUUGCAUCCAUGAAAUUCUUCAGUUGCAAGCUCGGGUUUGACAAUGCACAAAUCAACCACAAU
rnacentral:lncRNA from 1 species